CUCUACAGCAUGUGCUGUAGAGAGAUAGGUAACAGUGUGCUGCAUAAGUUUCCCAGAAUAUGCUGCUGUUUAUUUCUGCCUUUUUUUUCCUGCCACUGCAGUGCAUUUAAACCUUGAAUUUGUCACAAUUACAACAUACUUCUAUUUUCAGAGUUUUGCUAAGAUGCAACAACAUGUCUCUAAGGGCCACUAUACAAAAGACAUCAGAUUUAGCUGUGGACAGUCUUUGUGGAUGAGCCCCUUGAGAACACUUGAAGAAACGUACACAUGCAAAGUUUCAGUUCAGGAUAUGACUGACAUACCCAUCAAGUCCAGAGGGACCAUUUACUCGAGUUGUGUAUUCCCGGACAGGAUAGAGUGGCUGUGGCUUUAAGAGAAGAAUCAUUGCCAGUAAGGAGCUGAUGUGUUGCGCUGGCAGCCAAUCACAAGUGCAGCUGCGAGUAUUAUCCUGCCAAUGAGAGCUCACGCUGGGCGGAGGUUACAAAACCAGACUGAACCCAAUGACUCAGCAAAGCCAAAUCCAUGCCAGAUGACACUACAGUGAAAUUUAAAGGGCUAGGACCUCAGGAUAGCAGAGCAGUGAAUAUUAAAAAGACAAGCCCAUCUGUUUUCCUCCCUCGGCCUUGCUCAAAUCAUGAGCCCGCAAGGCGCACCAGAUGCAGAUCAUUUUGAGUGAUACAGUUUUAUCUUCAGAGCAAUCCGUUACCUUUGACCACUAAGAAAGCACCAUGACUAAGCAUUCCUGGCACUGACACCAUCCUUAGAGGUAUAAGAUAUCCUUAGCUGAGAGAAAAGACCAGUGCCCACACUGUCUAUUAGCAUCUCCACACUCCCAAGCAAUUAGAAUCGUCUCGACUUGCUAAACCAAUUGAGCUCAGUUAUAUCACCACUCUAAAUAAAUAUGUAGGUAUGUGUCCAUCAGGCUCCUACAAUUCAGUUCAAUUUAAUUAUAUGAACUACAGCUGUUUUCAUGCACAAUGAGAAACACAGAAAAUGAUUAUUACCUUAAAAACAAAACAUGCAAUGUUUCCAUAUCAAUUCACACUAUCCACAAAUGGUAUUGAACAAUUAAAUUAAGCAAUGUGAAAACCGACUAAUAUCAUCACUAUGGAAUACAUAUAUACUCAAUAAAAUGCAUAUUAUUAAUAAUCAUAAUUAAUGGAAUGAGAUCUGUUUUUGUUCACAGACAUGAGAACAAGGCUCACGAGACAUUUCGAGCACAUUUCGUGAUGGCAGAGCUGUGCCCACCUAACGUGACUGUCUGGUGAAAAUCAGGCAUGACAGGCGUGUCCACGGUGUUUGGCAUGUAAGCUAAACCUGGACAACCACAUGUAGUCCAACAUAGCUCUGGAUUAGACGAGACUGCAGCCAAAACACAUUCAGCUUCAUGCUCCUAACCCAGCUGCAUUGAUCAGUAUCCUUAGAAAACAAUCCUGGUCUCUAACAGAAAAGUCAUUUUAACCUUCUGCAAAGUGGAUGGGACAUUUCCAAUAUGCAAAACAAGACUGCUUAAGGAUGAGGGGGGGAGGCAGAG
ensembl:lincRNA